UGUUGCUGUUAUGCCUGUUCGUGUGUUGGCAGGGGCAGGGUGUUGCCCCACCUGACGGUCAACAUCCACUCCCGCACUUGUUCCUGGUCUGCAAUCCACCACAGCAUUUAGGAGAGGACCUGACUUCCAGCCCCUGCAAGAUCACAAACCCGACAACUGCACGCACCUGUUUGCCCGCCCUGGACCUCGGAGCCACCCCGCACCUGGAUUCCAAGCCAACCCACAGCCACUCGGCCCACCCCCCAGCACCU